UUCGAGAAAGGAAAUAAACAAAUUUGUUAGUUUAAUAAUUUCCCAGAUGAGGGUGUACGCUGGGGCGGAACCCUUAAUAGACGAUGCACUGGGAGAGGAAGCAGAGUAUAUCCCAUUGAAUGGUCAACGUACAAACUAUGAUUGUGGAAUAUUCGUAAUGAAAUGGCUGGAAAUAAUAGAUCCACAAAAAAUAAAGAGCGGCAAGAGAUAUAAAUAUAAAGCUU